CCCUGUGGUCAUCGCCUGUGCAGCCAUUAGUGUCUCUCUAGAACAGUUCUCACUUUUGAUAUUAGGGUUUUGGUCAUUGUUAAGUUCUGGAAUAAAUUUAUCAUUUUCAUCCAGCCACCGAUACUUUCUAGUUAUUCUAUAGAAGUCUUCAAAGUCAAUAUUGGGAAUUUCUCUUACGGGCUAAUUUGAGGACGAAAUUAUCGAUCCUCCCAGGUGGAAAUCGACUAUAGCAACAGGGCUCAUCAAGCCCAGGACCAAGGCUUGGAAAUACUCAAUCAGGGCUGAGAUUAGCCGUGGAUCAGCCCUCUUUCAGCCCCAAAAUGAUAACCUCGUUUCAGGCUUGGAACAUAAGGCUUGAACAAGGCUUGCUGCUAAGGCUUGAUGCAAGCCUUGAAUUACCAAAGUGUAAAGGCUCUAUCGCGCUCCGGUUAGAUAAAUUAUAUUAUUGUUUAUGGAUAUUUGUUUGGUACAUCACUAUUGAUUAGCGUUGUUGCUGAAUGUGGU